rnacentral:rRNA from 1 species
CCUACGGGAGGCAGCAGUGGGGAAUAUUGGACAAUGGGCGCAAGCCUGAUCCAGCCAUACCGCGUGGGUGAAGAAGGCCUUCGGGUUGUAAAGCCCUUUUGUUGGGAAAGAAAUCCAGCUGGCUAAUACCCGGUUGGGAUGACGGUACCCAAAGAAUAAGCACCGGCUAACUUAGUGCCAGCAGCCGCGGUAAUACGAAGGGUGCAAGCGUUACUCGGAAUUACUGGGCGUAAAGCGGGCGCAGGUGGUCGUUUUAGUCCGUUGCGAAAGCCCCGGGUUCAGCCUGGGAACUGCAGUUGAUACUGGGGGGCUAGAGUGUGGUAGAUGGUAGCGGAAUUCCUUGUGUAUCUGUGAAAUGCGUAGAGAACAGGACGAACAUCCAUGGCGAAGGCAGCUACCUGGACCAACACUGACACUGAGGCACGAAAGCGUGAGGAGCAAACAGGAUUAGAUACCGGAGUAGUC